UGGAACGACAUGAGGGGCCAGGGGUUUUAAAUGUAAAGUGGAUUCAUGCUGAUUGAGCUGCAUAUGAAGAAUAGAAGCAUUAAGAGAAACACAACGUCAUCCAUGAUAAAAGAGGUCAAAGGUCAUUAGGUCAGUAAAUAUAUACUGUAUCUUUAAAAAUUGUUAUAUAAGCACAUUUUGAAGAUAUUUUAUGUGAAAGUUUUAUUCUUACUUUUUAAAAAGCUUUUUUUUUUUUUUUUUUCAAAAACUAAAUGACUGAGUGUCAUCAACAGCUGAGGUGUUUCUGCUAUCAGUGUGUUGAAGUGUUUCUCUCUCUGCUGGAGUUUGUGUUCACUCGAGUGGAAUAGAGGUUUUUGUACGAGUGUUUCAAGAGAUUGUAUCACUGUGGUACACAUUCGGUGGAGGAACUAAACUGGUGCUCGCUGGUCCCACAGUGAAGCCCUCAGUGUCUCUGCUGCCGCCCUCUUCUCUGCCAGAUCUCUGGAGACUCAGCCGCACUGCUCUGCCUGCUCAGCUCUUACUCUCCACAGGGGGCGCUGGUGAGCUGGACACUGGACGGCUC